CGUCUGUCUUCCACCCUCCCUCAAUACAACAGCAGGCCUGGGAAGAGAACCCUUCUGCAGUUUCCCUCCCAGCUCCAGCCUGAGCUAGGGGUGUGAAGAACCCCAGAAGCUGUAAGAGGAACAGAGUGUAUCAAGAAGAAUUCAAGACCUGCUGUCUCAAGUAAAGGAAAAGUUCAUAAAAUGUGUAAAACAGAGCAGCCUGAAACAACAGCUGUAAGAGAGGCAUGAACUGUUUCCAAUCAAUCUCAAUGGGAGGGUUAACUGUCAAACCUAAUACUGUAAGCAGGGUUGUUGUAGCCACGUCGGUCCCAAGAUAUUAGAGA